GCCUGAUGCAGCCAUGCCGCGUGUGUGAAGAAGGCCUUCGGGUUGUAAAGCACUUUCAGUCGUGAGGAAGGUGGUAGUGUUAAUAGCACUAUCAUUUGACGUUAGCGACAGAAGAAGCACCGGCUAACUCCGUGCCAGCAGCCGCGGUAAUACGGAGGGUGCGAGCGUUAAUCGGAAUUACUGGGCGUAAAGCGCAUGCAGGUGGUUUGUUAAGUCAGAUGUGAAAGCCCGGGGCUCAACCUCGGAAUAGCAUUUGAAACUGGCAGACUAGAGUACUGUAGAGGGGGGUAGAAUUUCAGGUGUAGCGGUGAAAUGCGUAGAGAUCUGAAGGAAUACCGGUGGCGAAGGCGGCCCCCUGGACAGAUACUGACACUCAGAUGCGAAAGCGUGGGGAGCAAACAGGAUUAGAUACCCUGGUAGUCCACGCCGUAAACGAUGUCUACUUGGAGGUUGUGGCCUUGAGCCGUGGCUUUCGGAGCUAACGCGUUAAGUAGACCGCCUGGGGAGUACGGUCGCAAGAUUAAAACUCAAAUGAAUUGACGGGGGCCCGCACAAGCGGUGGAGCAUGUGGUUUAAUUCGAUGCAACGCGAAGAACCUUACCUACUCUUGACAUCCAGAGAACUUUCCAGAGAUGGAUUGGUGCCUUCGGGAACUCUGAGACAGGUGCUGCAUGGCUGUCGUCAGCUCGUGUUGUGAAAUGUUGGGUUAAGUCCCGCAACGAGCGCAACCCUUAUCCUUGUUUGCCAGCGAGUAAUGUCGGGAACUCCAGGGAGACUGCCGGUGAUAAACCGGAGGAAGGUGGGGACGACGUCAAGUCAUCAUGGCCCUUACGAGUAGGGCUACACACGUGCUACAAUGGCGCAUACAGAGGGCAGCAAGCUAGCGAUAGUGAGCGAAUCCCAAAAAGUGCGUCGUAGUCCGGAUUGGAGUCUGCAACUCGACUCCAUGAAGUCGGAAUCGCUAGUAAUCGUGGAUCAGAAUGCCACGGUGAAUACGUUCCCGGGCCUUGUACACACCGCCCGUCACACCAUGGGGAGUGGGCUGCAAAAGAAGUAGGUAGUUUAACCUUCGGGAGGACGCUUACCACUUUGGGUUCAUGACUGGGGUGAAUCGUAACCAAGGGAACCAA
rnacentral:rRNA from 1 species